CUACCUUUCUCGGCCUUUUGGCUAAGAUCAAGUGUAGUAUUUAUUCUUAUCAGUUUAUUUUUUGAGGGGGAGAGGCCAACAUAGUAGCUAUUUUAAUAAAUCAUUAGAGAAAUUAGAUGGCUUUUAUUAUUAUUUUGAUCUAAAGAGGUAAUAAAUUCAAUUUUUGCGGACUCACAUGACACUUCACUGAACCCCUA